rnacentral:misc_RNA from 1 species
AGGUAGAUACCAAAACUCAACCUGGUCUGGUAGCCACUUUACCAGUUCAACGUCACAAAAGCUUUGGACUAUAAAAUGAUUCAGAGCCUGUUCCGGCGAAUCCCCUGACUAAGACAUCCUACCUCUAGGCCUUGGAAACUCCGAAAUGAAUUAAAUAUAGACUGGACCCACAAGCCCUCAAGUCUUCAACCCCAUGAUUCCCACCGUUGUUGUUUUCUACUAGUCCUAGUCCUUUCCGUUCUCUUUCUCUCCUAUUAAUAGCUUCAACAACAUCAUCAAUCUCUUCAAUUUCGGAAUCCUCGUUUAGAUCUCUCUUUGGCUGUUUGUUUUAGUUUUUAGGUGGGACAAGCUUUCUGUAAUGGCGGAGACAUGGGUGAGAAUGGUGACUGCGCAGACACCCACUAAUAUAGCGGUGAUAAAGUACUGGGGGAAGAGGGAUGAGACCCUGAUUUUGCCUGUUAACGAUAGCAUAAGUGUUACUCUAGAUCCUGCACAUCUUUGUACCACCACUACUGUGGCUGUUAGUCCUAGUUUUGUUCAGGAUCGGAUGUGGCUUAAUGGGAAGGAGAUUUCCCUUUCUGGGGGCAGGUACCAAAAUUGUUUAAGGGAAAUUCGUGCUCGAGCCUGUGAUGUUGAGGAUAAAGAAAGGGGUAUCAAGAUUUCAAAGAAGGAUUGGGAGAAAUUACAUGUACAUAUAGCAUCAUAUAACAAUUUCCCUACUGCUGCUGGACUGGCUUCUUCAGCAGCUGGUUUUGCUUGUCUGGGUGAAGAUUAUUUUCUCAAAUUUUCUUGCUUAUUAAUUCUCCCUUCCUCUUACCCCCUUUUCCCUCUUUCAACAUUGUUGACAAGCCUACAGUGUUGAAAUAUAUUUUCUGGUGGCUUUUGGGUAUUAUGAAGCUGCUUAUCAUGAUUCUGAGAGAUCAUUAUGAUCUGAGUUGUAUUCUAUUUGAAAAUAUUUAUUUUUUCCUGGUUGCUAAAAUUGGCUUGAUUCUUAGUUCAUCUUUAUUACAAUAACAUGUGAAUUGUGCAUACCUUCAUAUCAUCUGCUGGAAAUAUUGAUGAUGGAGCUUACUUUCUUGUCCAUAUAUUGUGUGAAUGUAAUUUGGAAAUUCUAGAAUCUAGAAUAUAUAGUUUCUAGAAUCUAGAAUAUAUAGUUUAAAAGAAUAAUCUUUUGAGGUUUAGAAGUCACAGUCAGCCUCCUGUGACAUGUUAUCUCUGCUAUUGAUUUAUGUUCAUAGGCUUUGUCUGUUCCCUUAUGCCUUGUACUGGUGUAAUCUUAUAAUCUGCUACAUUUGGCAAUGACUUUAGUGUUGAUUUUUAAGUGGUUCAAGCUAACUCAAGCAUCAAGAUGCUUUUAGAUUCGAUAAUCUCAAAAAUGAUAUGAUUCUGAGCACAAGUGGGCUUAUUUCAACAUUGUUUCCAAUUCACUGAUGCAGAUCUUUUUAUUGUUCAAUAUGCAUGUUGAAAUAAUCCACACGUUAUGGUCUUUUUGAUUUACUCUGUCCAUGUAUGGGAACUUUUUCUUGUUUGGUAACAAGAUUUUGUCUGCUGGAUCCCCCACUUGUCAUUAAGUUUGUUAUCAAUAUUUAUGUGAAAGGCACUGUAUUUAUUAUGAUUGCAUUCUGGCCUUGUUGAAUUGAUCUACUUAACUUGAUUAAUAGAGUUCAUCUGAAUCUCCCACUGAGCCACAAUGGCUCUGCAGCUUCUGCUAUGACCAACGACUUCAUUAAUUUUCAGCUUUACACGUGCAAACCUCUAUCUUUAAUUUUAAUGUUUAACGGACAUAAGAAUUCAUCAAUGAAUAUAUCUGAUUUGUCAUGUUCUAUUGCAGUUUUUGCCCUUGCAAAGCUGAUGAAUGCUAAAGAAGACAAUAGUAAGCUUUCUGCUAUUGCAAGGUAUAUGCUUUAUGGUUGACACAUAUUCUAUUUUCUAGUUGCUUAGUGUUUGGUUUCAAUGGAUGUCUAUCUUUAUGCCUUUUAUAAUUCUGAAUGCCCUGAUGUAUGGAUCAUUGUUGGUAUCUAAUUAUUGUAUGUAGUUGAUAUUUCAAAUUCUUGUCAUGAUGGGUAUCUAAAAUUCACUAUGUUUCUUUUUUUUUCCCCCUAUUUCCUGCUGUCUUGAAUUAUUUUAUAGUUGAGUUGUAUAUUUUAUAAUUUAUACAUAAAUAUGUCAGAGAUGUUCAUAUAAGUUGGAUUCAGAUUUUGAUAUUUUAGUGACCUUGUUGCUUAGGCAAGGUUCAGGCAGUGCUUGUCGUAGUUUGUUUGGUGGAUUUGUAAAGUGGAACAUGGGAAAGGUAAUGUUGAUUUUGAGGUUUAUAUUUGGUCCCUUAAGUGUAGGAGGUGCUUUGUCAUUUUGACCAGUUAAAUCUAACAUAUAAUUUAUUAAUUCAUCUCAAGUUUGAGGAUGGAAGUGACAGCCUUGCUGUUGAAGUUGUAGAUGAGAAGCACUGGGAUGAUCUUGUUAUUAUUAUUGCUGUGGUAAGUUCACGGCAGAAAGAAACUAGUAGCACUACAGGAAUGCGUGAGACUGUUGAAACCAGCUUGCUUUUGCAACAUAGAGCUAAGGUGCUUUUCAAUUCUUUAAUUAUAGUUUAGGCAGCUGAUUUUUCUAAGUGGUUGUCUCUCUAUUUGAGGAAAGUCUUUUCAAUGACAGAGCUUUAAGGACUUAAAAUAGGUUUAGAGUCCUAUACUCUAUCUAACUACUAACUAGAUGAUAAAUGUGCUUCAUAAUUUGAUUGCAUUAUUUUCAUUGGGAUUACUCUCCUUCAGGUUUUCUAUUUUUUUUCUUCUGCACUCUUUCUUUGAUGGUAAUUAUCCUUGUAUUAUGUCGUUUAUAGAUUAUUAUGAGAGCGUUUGAAUUUGAUUUAAUUAAUGCUUUCAGGAGAUCGUACCAAAACGCAUUAUACAAAUGGAAGAGGCCAUAAAAAAUCGUGAUUUUGCAUCUUUUGCACACUUAACCUGUGCUGAUAGUAAUCAGUUCCAUGCUGUCUGCUUGGAUACAUGUCCUCCAAUUUUCUACAUGAAUGAUACAUCACACAGGCAAAUUUCACUUUCCAGUUUGACAUGGAAUAGAAGCUAUUUCAUUUAUUUAUUCAUGUUCUGAUUGAGGAACGAAACUCUAGAUCUUAGUAUUAAUAUAAUGACUUUGUAGCAGGAUAAUCAGCUGUGCUGAAAAAUGGAAUCGUUCUGAAGGAACACCUCAGGUUUGUCUAGUUUUGAACUCUUAUUUGGGCUGGAUAAAUCACAAUUUUAGAAGAGAAAUCAUAUAAUAGAAACUCAGUUUUUGAAGUUCAGAAUUAGUAUAUGCUGCAGUAACAGUCAUUAAUCAAAAUUCAGUGAUUCAGUCGUGGGUGAUAACUUUCAUGUUUUGCUCUUGAGACAUGCAUUAUUAUUCUUGAUAUAAUGAUAAUAGUUUUUACAAAUUUCCUUUCCAAUGAUUGAUACAGGCGUUUCCCCUUUGUGGUAUUGACUUGUUAAUUUUAGGCAAUUUGGGCUUUGGCACUUAAAAGACUUGUAUAUGCUUUCAGAAUGCCUGGACAUAGGGCUUCUUUCACUUGUGGCAACAAUUGUUCUAAACUGUUAAUUGCUGUUUCUGUUGAAAGAUUAUAUUAGUUCCACGUGGAAAAGAAAUAUUGAAUGUCAAGCAUCCUGGUUGGAUUAAGCCCUCUCAAUUAGCCUAUUUUCUUUCUGUUGGCCACUUUUAUUGUAGAAAGUAAAGCAACAUAGAUGGUUUAGAGUCACACUGAUCAAACAUUCUGCAUUCCAUAUUCCAUGUGAGAUAUUGCUGAUUACUAUAGUAGUUGACCAUCAGUGAAAAAUUGACAGGUGGCUUAUACAUUUGAUGCUGGGCCUAAUGCAGUUCUAAUUGCACGUAAUAGGCAGGCUGCUGCCCGGUUACUGCAGAAGCUGCUUUUCUAUUUCCCUCCUAAUUCUGAUACUGAUUUAAACAGGUAAGUUUUCUUUGGAUAUUAAUGACACAAUAUAAAUUGUUUCUUAAUGGAAGAUAUAAUAGAAGGAUUUAGGUGCGUUGUUUGGGGGCUGCCAUUAACAGAACCUUGUUAGACGAGUUCUUUGAUGAUACAUUUUCUCCCUCCCCAGUUAUGUUCUUGGUGAUAAGUCA